GAUGAACGCUGGCGGCGGGCCUAAUACAUGCAAGUCGAACGAAGCGGGGACGGGUGAGUAACACGUGGAUAACCUCCUAUAAGACUGGGAUAAACUAGGGAAAACGGAGCUAAACCGGAAAAUUAUAGAUGGAUCCGCGUUGCAUGAGCUAGUUGGAAAGGUAACGGCUUACCAAGGCAACGAUGCAUAGCAGACCUGAGAGGGUGACCGGCCACACUGGAACUGAGACACGGUCCAGACUCCUACGGGAGGCAGCAGUAGGGAAUCUUCCGCAAUGGGCGAAAGCCUGACGCAGCCAUGCCGCGUGAGUGAUGAAGGUCUUCGGAUCGUAAAGCUCUUUCAUUAGGGAAGCGUUACCGAAACAGAAAGCCACGGCUAACUACGUGCCAGCAGCCGCGGUAAUAC
rnacentral:rRNA from 1 species